rnacentral:rRNA from 1 species
GACGAACGCUGGCGGCGUGCUUACCACAUGCAAGUCGAGCGGUAAGGCCCUUUCGGGGGUACACGAGCGGCGAACGGGUGAGUAACACGUGGGUGACCUGCCCUCAGCUCUGGGAUAAGCCUGGGAAACUGGGUCUAAUACUGGAUAUGACUCCACGGUGCAUGUCGUGGGGUGGAAAGCCUUGUGCGGCUGAGGAUGGGCCCGCGGCCUAUCAGCUUGUUGGUGGGGUGAUGGCCUACCAAGGCGACGACGGGUAGCCGGCCUGAGAGGGCGACCGGCCACACUGGGACUGAGACGCGGCCCAGACUCCUACGGGAGGCAGCAGUGGGGAAUCUUGCGCAAUGGGCGAAAGCCUGACGCAGCGACGCCGCGUGAGGGAUGACGGCCUCGGUGUAA